CGCCGAUAGGGGUAACCCCGCCGGUGAUUGCGCAGAAGUCAGCAGACGGCAUAGUAGCCAAACGCCCAUCGUAAUCUCCUCGGGUGACAGGC
rnacentral:ncRNA from 1 species